rnacentral:rRNA from 1 species
CCCCACUGCUAUCGGGAUAGGACUAAGACAUGCUAGUUGAGCGCUUCAGCCAAAAAGAGGCGCGGCAUACAGCUCAGUAACACGUGGCUAAUCUGCCCUUAGGAUAGGAACAACCCCGGGAAACUGGGGCUAAUUCCCAAUAGGCGAAGAACUCUGGAAUGAGUCUUCACCCGAAAAGAGCUUACGUUAUGCGCGUAAGUCUCGCCUAAGGAUGAGGCCGCGACCGAUCAGGUUGUUGGUGAGGUAAUGGCUCACCAAGCCUUUUACCGGUGCGGGCCGUGAGAGCGGGAGCCCGGAGAUGGGCACUGAGACAAGGGCCCAGGCCCUACGGGGCGCAGCAGUCGCGAAAACUUUGCAAUACACGAAAGUGUGACAGGGCUGUCCCGAGUGCCAUCCGCUGAGGAAGGCUUUUACCCAGUCUAGAACGCUGGGGGAAUAAGGAGAGGGCAAGUCUGGUGUCAGCCGCCGCGGUAAUACCAGCUCUCCGAGUGGUGUGGAUGUUUAUUGGGCCUAAAGCAUCCGUAGCUGGCUAAGUUAGUCCCCUGUCAAAUCCACCGAAUUAAUCGUUGGAUCGCGGGGGAUACUGCUUGGCUAGGGGACGAGAGAGGCAGACGGUAUUUCCGGGGUAGGGGUGAAAUCCUAUAAUCCCGGGAAGACCACCAGUGGCGAAGGCUGUCUGCUAGAACGCGCCCGACGGUGAGGGAUGAAAGCUGGGGGAGCGAACCGGUUAGAUACCCGGGUAGUCCCAGCUGUAAACGAUGCAGGCUAGGUGUUUGGACGGCCACGUGCCGUUCUAGUGCCGCAGGGAAGCUGUUAAGCCUGCCGCCUGGGGAGUACGAUCGCAAGAUUGAAAUCUUAAUAGGAAUUGGCGGGGGAGCACCACAUAGGGGUGAAUGCUUGCGGUUU